UACAGAGGGGGCAAGCGUUAUUCGGAAUUAUUGGGCGUAAAGGGCGCGUAGGCGGCUUUUCAAGUGACGGGUGAAAUCCCUCGGCUUAACCGAGGAACUGCCUGUCAGACUGGAAGGCUUGAGACCGGGAGAGGUGAGUGGAAUUCCCAGUGUAGCGGUGAAAUGCGUAGAUAUUGGGAGGAACACCAGUGGCGAAGGCGGCUCACUGGACUGGUACUGACGCUGAUGCGCGAAAGCGUGGGGAGCAAACAGG
rnacentral:rRNA from 1 species